rnacentral:rRNA from 1 species
AGACGAGGGGUCCUAGCGUUGUUCGGAAUCAUUGGGCGUAAAGCGGGUGUAGGCGGCUAAGUCAGUCAGGUGUGAAAGCCCUGGGCUCAACCCAGGAAGUGCAUCUGAUACUGCUUAGCUUGAGUGCGGCAGAGGGGGAUGGAAUUCCUGGUGUAGCAGUGAAAUGCGUAGAUAUCAGGAGGAACACCGAUGGCGAAGGCAGUCCCCUGGGUCGACACUGACGCUCAGGCACGAAAGCGUGGGGAGCAAACAGGAUUAGAAACCCCGGUAGUCC